GACGAACGCUGGCGGCGUGCUUAACACAUGCAAGUCGAGCGGAGCGGCGAACGGGUGAGUAACGCGUGAGUAACUGCCCCCCUCUCUGGGAUAACAGUUGGAAACGGCUGCUAAUACCGGAUAGUGGGGGAUGACUCGCGUCCUAUCAGCUUGUUGGUGGGGUAGUGGCCUACCAAGGCGACGACGGGUAGCCGGCCUGAGAGGGCGACCGGCCACAUUGGGCUGAGAGACGGCCCAAACGCAUACGGGGGGCAGCAGGGGGGAAGAUUGAACAGUGGGGGAAAGGCUGAUGCAGCAACGCCGGGUGCGGGAUGACGGCUGUGGGGUUGUAAACCGCUUUCAGCCAUGACGCGGUAGUGGCAGAAGAAGCACCGGCUAACUACGUGCCAGCAGCCGCGGUAAUAC
rnacentral:rRNA from 1 species